UACGAAGGGGGCUAGCGUUGCUCGGAAUCACUGGGCGUAAAGCGCACGUAGGCGGAUUGCUAAGUCAGGGGUGAAAUCCUGGAGCUCAACUCCAGAACUGCCUUUGAUACUGGCGACCUUGAGUCCGGGAGAGGUGGGUGGAAUUCCUAGUGUAGAGGUGAAAUUCGUAGAUAUUAGGAAGAACACCGGUGGCGAAGGCGGCCCACUGGCUCGGUACUGACGCUGAGGUGCGAAAGCGUGGGGAGCAAACAGG
rnacentral:rRNA from 1 species